CCCGCCUGGGGAGUACGAUCGCAAGAUUAAAACUCAAAGGAAUUGACGGGGCCCCCGCACAAGCACCGGAGCAUGCGGCUUAAUUCGACGCAACGCGAAGAACCUUACCAAGGCUUGACAUAUACAGGAAUAUGGCAGAGAUGUCAUAGCGGUAAAACGUCUGUAUACAGGUGGUGCAUGGUUGUCGUCAGCUCGUGUCGUGAGAUGUUGGGUUAAGUCCCGCAACGAGCGCAACCCUCGUUCUGUGUUGCCAGCAUUUAGUUGGGGACUCACAGGAGACUGCCGGGGUUAACUCGGAGGAAGGUGGGGAUGACGUCAAAUCAUCAUGCCCCUUAUGUCUUGGGCUGCACGCAUGCUACAAUGGCUGGUACAAAGGGCUGCAAUACUGCAAAGUGGAGCGAAUCCCAAAAAGCCAGUCUCAGUUCGGAUUGGGGUCUGCAACUCGACCCCAUGAAGUCGGAGUUGCUAGUAAUCGUAGAUCAGCAACGCUACGGUGAAUACGUUCCCGGGGCUUGUACACACCGCCCGUCACAUCACGAAAGUCGGUAACACCCAAAGUCAGUGGCCC
rnacentral:rRNA from 1 species